rnacentral:pre_miRNA from 2 species
UAGCGCCCCAGUCUCCGCCCACUCGGCCGCCACGUGGCAGCCGAGCGAGGGCCUCGGGGUGGCGC